AUUAACUUAGUAUAAUGCAGUACGGAGGAUUGUAGAUCCUAUGGUAAGAAUUUCUUAGUUAAGA
rnacentral:tRNA from 1 species